AUUGAACGCUGCGGCAGGCUUAACACAUGCAAGUCGAGCGAGCGGCGGAAGGGUGAGUAAUGCUUAGGAAUCUGCCUAUUAGUGUGCGACAACAUCUCGAAAGUGAUGCUAAUACCGCAUACUAAUAUAUGAGCCUAAGUAGGAUUAGCUAGUGGUUGGGGUAAAGGCCUACCAAGGCGACGAUCUGUAGAGGGUCUGAGAGGAUGAUCCGCCACACUGGGACUGAGACACGGCCCAGACUCCUACGGGAGGCAGCAGUGGGGAAUCUUGGACAAUGGGGGGAACCCUGAUCCAGCAAUGCCGCGUGUGUGAAGAAGUCUUUAUGGUUGUAAAGCACUGUAAGCGAGGAGGCGUUACUCGCAGAAUAAGCACCGGCUAACUCUGUGCCAGCAGCCGCGGUAAUAC
rnacentral:rRNA from 1 species